rnacentral:rRNA from 1 species
UACGGAGGGAGCUAGCGUUGUUCGGAAUUACUGGGCGUAAAGCGCACGUAGGCGGCUUUUAAGUCAGGGGUGAAAUCCCGGGGCUCAACCCCGGAACUGCCCUUGAAACUGGAGAGCUAGAAUCUUGGAGAGGCGAGUGGAAUUCCGAGUGUAGAGGUGAAAUUCGUAGAUAUUCGGAAGAACACCAGUGGCGAAGGCGACUCGCUGGACAAGUAUUGACGCUGAGGUGCGAAAGCGUGGGGAGCAAAACAGG